CAAUAGCGUAUAUUAAAGUUGUUGCAGUUAAAAAGCUCGUAGUUGGAUUUCUGGAUGGAGCGACCGGUCGGGGAUUAAUUUGUCUGCACUGGAGUCGGUUCCGUCCAUCCUCUUGGAAAGUGCGUGGGGCAUUAAGUUGUCUGGCGUAUGAUCCAAGUCGUUUACUGUGAAAAAAUUAGAGUGUUUAAAGCAGGCCUUCGCCUUGAAUACAUUAGCAUGGAAUAAUAAGAUAGGACUUUGGUCUAUUUUGUUGGUUUGCAGACCGAAGUAAUGAUUAAUAGGGAUAGUUGGGGGUAUUUAUAUUCCGAUGUCAGAGGUGAAAUUCUUAGAUUUUCGGAAGAUAAACUUAUGCGAAAGCAUUUACCAAGGAUGUUUUCAUUAA
rnacentral:rRNA from 1 species